UACAUCUAAGAUGGUCCAAAGCUGUGAG
rnacentral:piRNA from 1 species